rnacentral:rRNA from 1 species
UACAUGGGGUGCAAACGUUGCUCGGAAUUAUUGGGCGUAAAGCGCACGUAGGCGGUUCGUUAAGUCGGAUGUGAAAGCCCUCGGCUCAACUGAGGAAGUGCACCCGAAACUGGCGAGCUUGAGUACGAAAGAGGAACGCGGAAUUCCCGGUGUAGAGGUGAAAUUCGUAGAUAUCGGGAGGAACACCGGUGGCGAAGGCGGCGAUCUGGGUCGAUACUGACGCUGAGGUGCGAAAGCGUGGGGAGCAAACAGG